GUCCCGGUAGCUCAGUCGGUAGAGCAACUGACUUUUAAUCAGUGGGUCGGAGGUUCGAGUCCUCUCCGGGACACCA
rnacentral:tRNA from 1 species